GCCUUUGAGCCCUUCACAGGAAAGUCAAAGGGAGCUGGGCCAUGCCGUGUAUAGAAAGUGGCAGAAGCGUUCAGACUACACACUGCUUGUUUUAGUGCCUCUGAAAGUAGAAGAAUGAGAUAAAGGAGAGGGAACAUGAUUUGGAAAAAACACUCCUCCAGCACUUCAGUAUAAUCCAUUGAUUCACUCAGAGACUGGGAACUUGCAUUCUUGAUUCACAGAGAAGUUCUAUCUUUUCUUCUAAACUGUGUUUUGUUCAUGUUCCACCAUUUUGCAAUUUCAUAUUUUCUUAUGGCUCAGUUAUAACUUUGCUUUAUGCUAUGAGCAAUUACUUCUGCCCUACAGUAGUAUAAUGAGAUUUCUGGGCACCAGAGAUGGGAUUUUCAAAGGUGUUCAGCGACAGAUUAGCUUUACCCCAAGGCAAUAGGAGCUUUACAGCUGAUUUUCAUAGGAGGAAAAUUAGGCCGACACCACAGGCUUAGGAAUAUUUUACCAUCCUGAUGGUUUUGCUUAUUUAUACUCUCACAUACACAUUUUGCUUCAUACAUACAAAUCCUACCAAAAUAAAACAAGAUGACCAGAAGUUUACAGAUGGGGCAUGUAUGAAAAUACAAAUGCAGUGACAGACAGUAACAUGUUAUAACCGUAUGAUAAGGAAAAAUACACAUUAAAAACAGAGUUUAUAAAUACUAAUAAUUAUGUACAUCUACAAAAGGGAAAUUUUCUGAAAAAAAAAGGGGGGGGGGGUGUAGGGUGGGGCAUACAUUUCAGUAGCUACAACUCACUUCUUGCUUCUCAUACUUCUUUAGGGACCUGUUUUAGUUGGCAUUGCGGUGAUGGGUCAAUAGUUGGACUAGAUGGCUCAGAAUGAUUAUUUGAUUCUAUGGUUCUGUGAUUCUACAGUUCUACUCUAUUCCAUAUACUUAGUCAGAUAGCCUGGAAAAAAAUAAUAUAUAUUUUUUAAAGGUAUUAAAGAAAAAGAUCCUCUUUUUAAUACAUCUCCUAUUGCUCUGACACAUGAAAAAAAGGAUCUCAAACUUAAAUUGUUUUGUACAUUCUAAAUACCUGCAAGUGAGCUUGUACUGUGUGCCCAAUAAAAAAUAAAUAAAUAGAAAUAGUGGUAGGUUUUUAUCAUCAGAGGCUGUUUGAUCGUAUUUGUACUACUGGACAGUAUUAAAACACUCUGUAGAAAAAGUACAAAAUAAACUAAUUUAUUCAA